rnacentral:tRNA from 1 species
GCCGAUGUAGCUCAGUGGGUAGAGCGCGUCCUUGGUAAGGACGAGGUCACCGGUUCGAGCCCGGUCAUCGGCUCCA